CAAUAGCGUAUAUUAAAGUUGUUGCAGUUAAAAAGCUCGUAGUUGGAUUUCUGGUACAAUGCGCCUGGCCCGCGACCGUUAGGUCGUGAGUGCCGGUGCGCGUUUGCCAUCCUUCUAGAAAACGUUUCUGCUCUUUACCGGAGUUGGACUCGCGAUCUAGAUCUUUUACUUUGAAAAAUUAGAGUGUUCAAAGCGGGCUUACGCUUGAAUAUUUCAGCAUGGAAUAACACUAUAGGACUCCUGUCCUAUUUCGUUGGUCUCGGACGGGAGUAAUGAUUAAGAGGAACAGUUGGGGGCAUUCGUAUUUCAUUGUCAGAGGUGAAAUUCUUGGAUUUAUGAAAGACGAACUUCUGCGAAAGCAUUUGCCAAGGAUGUUUUCAUUAAUCAAGAACGAAAGUUGGGGCUCGAAGACGAUUAGAUACCG
rnacentral:rRNA from 1 species